GCUUAAACGUAGCAAAAUUAACAAACUAAAUUCUUGUCCUUGCCCGAAUGCCCGUGUUUCGAAGGCGAGGAGUAUUGGCAGGAUAGGUCAAGCGCAAUAGACCAAUAACUUCUUUGAUCCUUUUUGUCCUCAAGAGGAUUCUUGUUCUUGCUACCCAAUGGUCAUCCUCUUUUCUUCUUAGUGGUGUGGAGUAGCACCAGAAUCAGCCGGUGGAGGAUAAUACGGCACCAUAACACCUUCUAGUUUUUGACCUAUUCCCACAGAUUUUCUAGUAAAUUUGGAGCUAAACUCUGGAAGCUUUAGCUUUUUUGGUUGCAUCAUCAGUCCCUUCUGUGCAUCAACAAAGUUCAAACCAUAUAGCAGUUAGCAGCUGUUGUUUAAUUAUGUUCAUUUGGUUACUGCAAUAAUUUUCUGAAACUUUUUUUUUGCUACAAAGAUUUCUAAUUAGUCCUCCAUCCUUAGAUAUGUUGAGGUCCAUAAUCAAUAGCUCAAACGAGUUCAUGUUGUGGUUUUAGUGCUGAGGUGGCUUUGGAUAUUUUGUUUCUGAAUUCCUUGAAGCUAGAAAGGUAAUCUCUCACCAUAUCAACUCCGUUUUCUCAUUUUUAUUUCCUUUAUUUUGUUUCUCUUCUGAACCUUUUUCCAGUCCUAUCAGGACAUUAUGCUAUGAUUAGUUGUGCAACUGUAAAGAUGGGAUUAUCCAAGGGUAAUGGAAGUAAGCUUAAAUCAGGACUACAAAUCAGAUAGAAGUUUGAGACAUGAGAUGGUGAAUAUGUAAUUGCAGAUGGAAUACAUUAUCCCAUGUUUGGAGGUCAAACCAACUUUCAUUGGGAAUCAUGAUCUUCAAGUUUGGAAAGAUAGUGUAUCAUGGAUAUAAACAUAGCUGUUUCAUCCAUGGUAAAUGACUUCCUCGUUGCACAUCUGUAAGGAUGAGGCGCAGAGGCGCAGGAGGCGGAGAUGGAGGCUUUGAAGGCGGCGAAAUCGCACCUUAAGGCGUCUUGAGCAUACGCCUGGGAUUUUUUUUUUUUUUUAACAAACCAAAACGACGUCGUUUUGGUAUUGAGAGGGUUUUGAUUUAUUUAGGUCGUGUAUUAUACCCGAGCCAAGCCCCAAAUCACUCAAACAACUUCCUCCCCGACUCUCACUCUCAAGAGCAACCAAUCUCAAUCCCUUACUCGAAAAGUUGAUAAAAUCAUGAAGAUCCCAUAAGUUUUUUCAAGAAUUUGGUUCUAAAGGAGGCUAUUUGCAGAAUUGGAGCAAGAAAUAAGUUCGAUUUGAAGAGAAUUGGAGAGUUGUAGUUCGAUUUGAAGAAAAGGAGUUUAAGACCGGCGGCAGCAGGAAGCGGAGUCCACCUAAAGCGACUUGCAAGAACGGGAAACCGGAACUCGUCAUUGUCUCCGUUGCUCAUCGCAUGCACAGAUUUGCCUCUGUCAUCCUAAAGCUGUUUUGGUGUUUCCGAGUAGCGCACGAAGCACAUGAAGCUGUCCCCAGCAUGAUCCAAUCGCCAGAGCUUCCAACUGGCAGAGAUGGUGUAGUCAAGGAGGAGGACAAGGUAGCACAAUCAAAUCGGGUUUCGAGAAGGCUUUGGGCUCGAGCUCCCGGAGGACGUCAGCAACAUCAUCCAUAACCCUACCUCGCCGGAAGACUAUUUCCGGUCUCGGGUCUGCAGCCGGAAAGAUGGGAGAAGAGGACAUGGGUGCCCAAAUUAGAUUUUUUUUUGUUAAGUAACGGGAUAGAAGGAAAGGAAAAAAAAGUUUUAAAUGUAUAU